rnacentral:tRNA from 3 species
GCCUCUAUAGCUCAGUGGUAGAGCGCUUGACUUGUAAUCAAGAGGUCCGUGGUUCAAUCCCGCGUGGAGGCA